CACGCUGACUUGUUAGUUUCAGCUGCGGUGGUCCUUGUCUGCCCUGGUCCAGAGCUUAGCUCGAGUCUGGGGCCGCUCGUCUCCAGCGUUCGCUGCCUGGUACUGGCUCUGUUGCUGGCUCUGUUGCCCCGGACUCGGCCCGAAUUAGACUUUCCCCAAAGGAGGUGUUGGCCCGAUGUCAGCCUCUGCUGCUCCGUAUGGUCGCCGUCCUGCGAGGGACAGACGCUUAUCUCUUUAUUGUCUAAAGCACAGUGUCAGCUGCUGCUUCUGCCAGGACCGUCUGCAUUCCAUCCGACUGCUCCCUCUCCCUCUGAAAGAUUUCAGCUCUCCAGUCUUACUCCUGCCCCCAGCUCUCAGGUGUUGCUGCAGAAGUUCCAUAGGUAAACGUCUGGACUGUGAACAGUCUUCCCCUGGGACGCCCCUUCUGUUCAGGAGAUCUCAGUCCAGCCCUGUGCUGCGCAGCUCCAGGCAGACCCUAGGCUUGCUCUCUUUGGGAAGCUUCUCUUCUGUUCCUUCUGCUCUCUUUUCCUCCGUCUCUCCCUUAUGGUUGCGGGAGGCAGUCUUGCUGCUAACACGUGCGUCCCUCGAUGUUUCCUCUGAGGCCGGCCUCCACCCACGAUCCUGCUGGCUCGUUUGCCUCGUGCACUGCGGUGUCUCACGUUUGGUCUUCCAGGUCACAUUUCAGGUCUCUACUGUGACCUUUCAUCAAUUCAGCUACCACAGUUUGAGUUUGGAAAUCAUGGAUUUUAGGUCCAGAAAGUGUUAUUAGGAAUACUGUAAUUUGAAGCUCCAAAACUUUGGCCACCAGAUGCAAGGAGCCAACUCAGUGGAAAAGACCCUGAUAUUGGGAAAGAUUGAAGAGGUUGAGGGCAGGAGGAGAAAUGGGCAACAGGAUGAGAUGGUUGGAUGGCAUCCCCGACUCAAUGGGCAGGAGUUUGAGCAAACUCCGGGAGAUAGUGGAAGACAGAGGAGCCUGGCAUGCUGCAGUCCGUCGGGUGGCAGAGUCGGAUACAGGGCAGCGCCUGAACGACGACAGCUUGCAUCUUCAUCACAGUGAUGCUGUUUCCUUGGUUCAGAUCGUUCUCCUCCCUGUUAAGCUCAUCCUGGAGGCAGGGAAAGAGGGCACACUUACAGGGACCCCCUGUCUUCUUACCCUGGAGCCCUCACACCCAUGAUCUGUUCCCAGGCUCUUCGACGAUUCCUUUCUGGUUCUUCCUUCCAAGGAGCCCUUCGUCUCCUGCUUCUCUGGCUGCCCAGCAUUUCUGCUGCUGUGGGUUUGGUUGGUUCUGCUGCCUUGGCUGAAGCGUCUUGGGCAGCCUGGUUGCAGCUUUACCUGUCUCCUUGGCCAGCAGUGGUCCUUCCUGUGUGUGCUCGCUUCACCCGGCAUGUCCCCCCACUGUCAGUGUGAUCCGCACGUUAGGAUCCUUCCGCAGGAAGGAGCACGUUACAGCCGCCUCCUCCCCUCUGGUUGGCUUUUCAAGGGCACCUGCAAGGGAGAAGCGAGGCUGUGCCCUUGUGUUCUUGACACAGUGCCACGAAAUCAGAGUUACAAAUCCUAGCUGUCUUAACCUCAGUUAACCAUUUGUUCAGGAGUGGUUGGAACCAUUUCCAUUCAAAAAGGAAACUUUGUGCAGUAUUCAGGAGUGAAUGUAUCCAUCUGGGGGAUAUGGAGAGUCAGGAAAGUGGAAGCAGUUUUCUAAGCACUGGGAAGAAUCAGACUUUGUUACCAAGGCUGCUGCACAGUCCUGUCUCCCAGGGUUCAAACACUCAGGUCCCUUCGGUCCUUCCUCCUUUACUUACAAGCGUAGCUGCCGGCUCUGUGUGCCCCAGGGUCAGAGUCUGGUCCACAGAGCUCAGGCACCCUCCCCAGCAGGCAGCCGACAGAGAGGCUCCGACAGGAAUCUCUUCCGUGUGCAGUUUUCAGAGAGAGAGGAAAUUACACAAUUCCAGAGGUGUGGGAAUUUAUCUUUUUUUCCAACUGCAUAUAAAGUGCUUAAUGUAUAAGCAGUACUGAAAAAGGUAUUGUUGAGAACGUGAAAUAUAUAUAUAUGCAUACAUGCGUGUAAGUGGUCACUUUCGUUAGCUUAAUUUUUUAAACCUAAUUUAUGUAAUGAGAGGUGAAACUUUCAUCAUUUCUGGGGAAGUAUUUGACGUGAUGAGAAGCGGAGUGAAACAAGCUGUUGGUGCCUCGUGUAAUUGCAUAUCAGUUCACACUGUAGUAAAUUGUGUGUGUAUGAAU
rnacentral:lncRNA from 1 species